rnacentral:rRNA from 1 species
UACGGAGGGUGCGAGCGUUGUCCGGAAUUAUUGGGCGUAAAGGGCUCGUAGGCGGUUUGUCGCGUCGGGUGUGAAAACCCAGGGCUUAACCCUGGGCUGGCUUCCGAUACGGGCAGACUAGAGGUAUGCAGGGGAGAACGGAAUUCCUGGUGUAGCGGUGAAAUGCGCAGAUAUCAGGAGGAACACCGGUGGCGAAGGCGGUUCUCUGGGCAUGUCCUGACGCUGAGGAGCGAAAGUGUGGGGAGCGAACAGG